CUUGUGUCACCAGGCCAGAAAAUGAGGUUGAAUCUCCCAAGUAGGGAGAGGUUCUAACCCUUCCCCAUUCUAUCCACACAAAAAAAGGCUAGAGUCUCACUUUACAUUUCAUCUACGUUUGUGUCUGGCUAUUUCCAUCAACAUUCCUUAUGCUUUGCUAGUGCAACUUCUGCUUGCUUCUACUUUUAACACUUCAGCUGCUGACGUGCUAAGCAUUGGAAUGCAGACUUU